AUGGUUUCUUGUUUUAGAUAAGAAAUUUAACCUGCUCACUGAUUUUUAAAGAGCUGCAGUAUUGUGACUGUACAAAGGUAGCAUAAUCAUUAGUCUUUUAAUUGGGGACUCGUAUGAAAGGUUGGACAAGGAAAUUCUUUUUAAUUUUUAAUAUUGGAAUUUUCUAUUUUUGUACAAAAGCAAAAAUAAAAUUAAAAGACAAGAAGACCCUUUUAAGCUUAAUAAAGAUAUUUUAAAUAAGUCGGUUUAAAUAGAUUUAUUUUGCUGGGGCGGCAAGGAUAAGGAACAAUGGAGUAAAUAAAUAAAUGUGGUUAGAUUGCCUUAUGAGCCUUGAAAAGAUCUAAAGAAAAGCUACUAAAGGGGUAACAGCGUAAUGCUUUUUAAAAGUUCUUAUUGACAUAAGUGUUUGCGA
rnacentral:rRNA from 1 species